CAGCAAAGCAAACCUAGCGACGUACAGGAAAGGAAAAAAUUUAAUAAAAAAUCCCUUUCAGCUCUGAGCUCCACUACUAUCCCAAGUUUGUCAUGUAACAGACUUUUUUCAUCAGAGAAAGCAGCAUUUCAUCAAAAAUUAGGCUGUUCAAGUUUCACAACUCUAAAUCAUGCUGGGAAAGAAGUUGGUGACUGCACAAAAGCGAGGGGAGACAAGAGCCCUCUGCCUGGGACUGGGAAUGGUUGCAUGCUCCAUGAUGAUGUACUUUUUUAUUGGGAUCACCAUUGUGCCAUUUUACACUAAGAGUGUUUGGACAACAGAAACUGUGUGCAAGGUACUCAAAGCCAACAUCAAGGACAAAGUUUUCUGCCCAAACAGCAAAGGCUCAGAGGAUGAGGAAAUCUUUCCUUAUCCCUGUCUACAGGUGUGGGUUAAUCUGACAGCCUCAGGACAGGAGGUUAUGCUCUACCAGACUGAAGAUACACUGGAAAGAAAUCCUAAGUGCUCAUAUGUCCCAGACAAGUUGGAGAACUCUAAAGAAGUUAAAGCACGAAUAGAAACAAUUGCAAGCAAUUUCAAAAAAUACCAGACUUUCCCGUGUUACUAUGACCCAGGAGGAACACAGCCCAACGUCAUUUUAAGCAGACUUUAUCCUGCAAAAGAGCCAAGACUUCUAGGAAUGCUCUGAUGCACUGAGAGACUUUCUCUGAUCUCUGAAAAGAACUGUUUCUCUCAGCCAAAUUUCAAAUUGCCAUUGGACACAGGUGGAACAUGAGAUACUUCCUGCAUACUGUAUUUGACUGUCAUCUGGGACAAAACUGGUACAAGCUUUUUCAUCAUACAGUUGAAUCGGAAAGUGAAAGUUCAUCUGGCACAGGUACAGAUGGUUUGGGUGACCAAGUUGGAUGGGAGAGGAAAGAGAACCUGCUUUGUUAGUUCAUAAAAAGCUGAGGCAGAAGUGUGGUAAGCGGUUUUAAAAAGAGUCUCCAAAUUGUGAAGUAGAACUUACUCAUGACUGCACUCAAUCCAGCAAAUUUGUAACCCAUCACUUUCCUCCCCAUCCAGCUCAGCAGAGAUAGAUGAAGGUUGGAUGUUGCUGGCAGACCCUGUGGCUCCACUCAUUCAGCAGUCAGUGACCUGGGUUUGAAGAGCAUAAAUUUGUGAUCUUGCUGAGCUCAGAACUCAGCAUGAAGCAUGAAGCCCUGGAGUAACUGCUCUCAAAUCUGCCCUUGGCUUCCCAAGGCUACCCGCUACAGCCUUGUAGGGGGUAAUGUGAGAGACAACGGCUCCCUUUGAAAAUUUAAAGGGGUUUAUUAAACCUUAACAAAAAUACAACAAAGGACUACAUAAGGAAUAAGCUGCAGCGCUGGGAACUGCCUCUCAUGCAUACCACAUGGCUAGUUCAUCUUCAAGAUGGAUGCUCAAUCUUUUAUACCCCUGGGGGUUGUAUCAGCUAACCCUGGCCCCUUCAAAGUCUGUCAGUUAGCUCUUUGCUAUUUAUUGGUGAAAAUGGCUUUUUUUUAAACUUGAUUGGAGGUCAGGUGUUGCCAUGCCGUACCCCCUAAGCACCAAGCUUUUCCAUUCCCAAUUGUCCCAUGCAAGGGACACAUGUGCACGCCUUCUUUUUACCUGUCUUAGACAACCCAGCCUGUCUGAUAGCAAAAAUACAGGGGGGGAAGGGAACUAUGGGGAGAACAGAGGACAUUUAAACUACAAUAACAUAAGUAUACAUCACUUGAAGCUUUUCUUAAUAUCCACACAAUAGUUAUCUUUUAAUUAUGAGAGCCAAUCAUCUCAUUAUCCAUCAAUAAAACUAAUUAUACUUAUCCCUCUUAGUAGCAGAUGAAAAUUUAUUCAGAGUGCAAUCUGAAUAACAGACGUCCAAACUUAACUCCACCAAAAAUAAAGCAAGUUAAUUCUAACAUAUGAAUGGCUAUUUCCUUUUAACUCACACCCAUAGCAAGUACCUAAAGAAAAAUCUUCCACAAAUUCUUUCCUCUAGCAAAGUAAAAUCUCCUAUUUGGACAAGAAAUAUUCCAUGUUGUAUUGCAGUAAACAUUUUAUUUAGUUGUUGGUUUUGCACUGGGUGUUUGAUAAUCCGCACAGAUCACAUGGUCUAUCCCCCCCCAAGCCCCGGUGGUAAUGGUUUGUCCCAGGUUUGCUCCUCCCCUCGCCCCUUCCUCACUUGUAUCCCAUUGGCUGUGGCCCGUUCCUCCGCCCCCCUUCCCUGAGCUUCAGUGUCCCGGGAGGAGCGCACACCCCCCUCGGCCCCCAGCUCUCUUUUCCUGGGACGUCGCCUGAAUCCCGAGGUGAGUCCUAUCUAGGAGUAGAAACAGGACUUUGGUCCCGAGAGGAGAGCGCCUCUGUCUCUUGCUUUUGUCCUUGUGAAGGCUGCUCGGGGCUGGGGUCCAGAGCUAGUCGGAUCGGACUCGAACGGCCCCAGGAGAAAACCAGCCAUUUACAAUUCCAAGUAAAAACAGCUGUGCAGAGAGAAAAUCACACACAAAUCGGGAAACUCCAUUUUUUCUGGAUUCUUGCCAAACACAGCUUCCUCUUUUGUCCAAAAUAAAUGGGAUGUUAAUGUGAAAAGCCAAAUAUUCUAUUGCAGAAAACA